CUGGCUUUUGGUUGCUUGCUUUGCCUUUGUGCUGAGCGGGUGGCCAUUAGCUGGGGCAGUUUCGGGGAAUUGCGACCGUAAAGGUGCAUGAGUGGUGUUUGGUUUGUUAUGGGUGGUUGGCUGUCUGCUUGUGCAGCAACGUCCACGCAUGCUUACCUUUUCAUUUAAGCGCCAAGGCGUGCUUUGCCUUGAGCGUUUAGCGGGUUUCCUGUGUUGCAUACCUAAUUGAUGGUAUUCUAGAGAACAUUGUUGUUCUUUUCGUCGUGCGUCGCUCAUGUGGCGUGAGACGAACCUUGUAGCGGUCUCUAUGAUCCAUCUUGUCAAUGUCCAUGCAUUGAUGACUUGGUCCUAUGAGCAUUGCUUGGUGUCUUGGAUACGGAACCUUAUGCGGGCAUGGGUCGUACGUGAUCCUUCAUUUUGCCCUUCUUAAGCGUUCUCGCUUCUCCAAAACGACUGCCUGUCAUGUGUUGGCAUGUCC
rnacentral:misc_RNA from 1 species